rnacentral:rRNA from 1 species
GGGGACUCUAGUCGGACUGCCGCGAAAGCAGGAGGAGGGUGGGGACGACGUCAAGUCAUCAUGGCCUUUAUGACCUGGGCCACACACGUCCUACAAUGGGUGGUACAAAGGGCAGCAAGCCUGCAAAGGCAAGCCAAUCCCCGAAAGCCACCCUCAGUUCAGAUUGUGGGCUGCAAUCCGCCCACAUGAAGCUGGAAUCGCUAGUAAUCGCGGAUCAGCCACGCCGCGGUGAAUUUGUUCCUGAGCCUUGUACACACCGCCCGUCAAGCCACCCGAAUUGGCCGCACCCGUAGUCGUAGUUCCAACCGCAAGGAGGGACGCGCCGAAGGUGAUGCCGGUAAGGGGGACUAAGU